AAGGGCAUUUAUUAACCAACAUUGGGAGGAGCUGAGCCCAGGCUCCCCACUGUCACAUGCCUGUUCCACCCACCUGGGGCCGAGUGAGGGCAUUCCUCCAAUACAGCCAUUCUCACAAUAAAUACAUUCAUUGUGGGCUGGAGGUGGGAGAGGUUGGGUGAGGGACAGUAAAAACUCGUGGGAUUCCAUGUUCUCAGCUACAAAAAUAACAGUCAUCCUCACCCAAAGGGAAUGGGCUCAAUCUGGAUUGAUUGUACCAUAUGGGCCUGGAGACUUCAGAGGCCCCUGGACCUUAAAAGUGCCCCGGUGAGGUAGGACAGGAGUGGGAGCCAAGCAUCCAAAUUCCUAGCCUCUGCCCUUUGCAUAGUUCCAAGAAUGGGCUUUGUAUGCCAGGUGAGACAGUUCUUUCCCCUGCUUUGGUCUAGGGGAAGCAAAUGCUUGGUCCCCAGAAGGGAGGCUGGCUCAAUGAGUGCAGUGUUGGUCACCCGUCCAGGGAAGGGUCUCCAAGGUCAGCUAAAGGAGGCGGAAUCUCCCUUUGAAAUGUCCAUGGACCUAACCCAACAGACACAAGUCUGGCAGCAAGGGAGGCUCAGAAGGUGCACGUGGGUAGAAGUGUUAGCACGUGCAGCACAGGUGCCCAGGGAAGGGACAUGCCCGGAGGUGCCUGUCACGCUUCUGUGUGACCGAGGGAAUGGGUAAGAGGACUCGCAAGGGCUGCACGAGAAGGAGACUGAUGCCACCUUACCUCCCAGGCUGGCCUGUGGCCAAGCCCUUGCCAAUGGGGUCACCACCUGGGACUGGGAAAGGGAUGUGACAACCAGGAGGGUACCCCAAAUCCCGAAGGAUGAAGCACAAGAAUGCACAGGGAGAACAUGGGAGUGGGGCCUGGCAGCCCAGCUGACACAUUCUUCCAUGUGCACGUGUGAAUGUACGCAGGGCCGAGUGGCUGGCAGAGGGUGGUAACACUGCGGCCAUCUGGACCUGCAGAGCCCUACCUGGGAGGAAGAGGAAAGGUUGGGCAGACAACAGGACAGGAGGAUGGAGGCCUGCAAAGCAGUAGGUUAAGGGAACAGGAACUGGGUCAGGGUCUGCAGGAGCUGGCCCCGGGAGCACCUACCUCUGAGGAGCACCGGUGGGCCUGGGCUGCUCACAGGUGGGUCUUGGAGACUGAGGAGGGGCUUUGGCUGGCCUAACUGGCUAGCCCUACUGAGAAUCAAGGAGUCGGGAGAAGGGCAUGGAGCGAGGGUGUGGAGGGCUGGGUGUGCCCGGGAGGCAGGGGCCCAGAGCAUCUGCUGGGGAGGCCAGGCUCACACAGAGCUCUCGUCCAGCUGCUCUACCAGCUGUGCGUGCUUCCUCUUCUCCAGGAUGCGGCUGAGCUCUUCGGCAAAGGAGCAAGGCCCUGCCGGCACCCCGUUGCUGCUCUGCCUCAGCAGCACAUAGCUGCUGCCAUUCACCCUUCGAAGCCGGCGGGGCAGGGCGGCCAGCCCAUUGGUCAGUUCAGCCGGGGGCGGCGGCGGCGGCGGGGGCGGGGCUGGGGCCUCUCCAGGGAUGGUCUGCAGGCAGCUGCCUCCCAGGCCUGCAGCCCCGUCCCCAUCCUGGCCCUCGUCUUCCUCCUCGGGACACUGGCCUGAGACCGUCUGCAGCUGCACGGCAGAGCCCCUGCCCGGCCAGCCCGCCCCAGCGAGUACUUCCGUCGGCGCCCUCCUGCCCCUCCGCGCAGACAAGCCACGUAGAGGAGGGAGAAGGCCAAGACAAGGCAGAGGCCCCCGAGGGCAGCAAUGGCAAGCAGGUAGAGCAGCCUCGGGUCUGGGGCCGGGUGCGCCUCGUUCGCAGCGGGGGCUUGUGGGGCCGGGGCAGGAGUGGCUGGCCGCACCGUGAGGCGGUAGGCGGCCAGCAGGAUUCGCAGGCCGUUCUCCUCAGCAAAGCAGCCAUAGGUGCCGCUGUGCUUGGGCUGUGUGUCGGUCACCAGCAGCCCGUCGACGCCCACACGGUAGCCGUCCUGCCCAUCGCUCAGGCUUUUGCUCCCAUUGAGCAGCCACAAGGCCCGGGCCAGGUUGGACGGCCGAUCACAGGGCAGGAGGACGUCGUCACCCCGGAGCACAGAGCGGGUCUUCAGUGGUGGCGGCGGCCCUGGGGAGAGGUUGGAGAGCUCAGCACCUGCCCGUCUCAGGGAGGGCACCAGAAACGCAGGCCAUACCCUUCAACACUAAGUGCCAGCGCCAAGCACAAGGUCUGCUUCCAGGCAGUGGCUGAGUCUGGACUUGCACGCUCCCUCGUGAGUCAGUCACGCUGACUCCCGGGAAGCCCAUUCGCCUUCUUCU
rnacentral:lncRNA from 1 species